rnacentral:rRNA from 1 species
CAGUAGCCGCGGUAAUACGUAGGGUGCGAGCGUUAAUCGGAAUUACUGGGCGUAAAGCGUGCGCAGGCGGUUCGUUAAGACAGAUGUGAAAUCCCCGGGCUCAACCUGGGACCUGCAUUUGUGACUGUAUAGCUAGAGUACGGUAGAGGGGGAUGGAAUUCCGCGUGUAGCAGUGAAAUGCGUAGAUAUGCGGAGGAACACCGAUGGCGAAGGCAAUCCCCUGGGCCUGCACUGACGCUCAUGCACGAAAGCGUGGGGAGCAAACAGGAUUAGAUACCCCCGUAGUCCCUGUCUCUUAUAC